rnacentral:rRNA from 1 species
AGUGAACGCUGGCGGUAGGCCUAACACAUGCAAGUCGAACGGCAGCACAGUAAGAGCUUGCUCUUACGGGUGGCGAGUGGCGGACGGGUGAGGAAUACAUCGGAAUCUACUUUUUCGUGGGGGAUAACGUAGGGAAACUUACGCUAAUACCGCAUACGACCUACGGGUGAAAGCAGGGGAUCUUCGGACCUUGCGCGAUUGAAUGAGCCGAUGUCGGAUUAGCUAGUUGGCGGGGUAAAGGCCCACCAAGGCGACGAUCCGUAGCUGGUCUGAGAGGAUGAUCGGCCACACUGGAACUGGGACACGGACCAGACUCCUGCGGGAGGCAGCAGUGGGGAAUGUUGGACAAUGGGCGCGAGCCUGAUCCAGCCAUACCGCGUGGGUGGAAGAGGCCUUCGGUUUGUAAAGCCCUUUUGUUGGGAAAGAAAAGCAGCAGGUUAAUACCCCGCUGUUCUGACGGUACCCAAAGAAUAAGCACCGGCUAACUUCGUG